rnacentral:rRNA from 1 species
UACGUAGGGUGCGAGCGUUAAUCGGAAUUACUGGGCGUAAAGCGUGCGCAGGCGGUUUGCUAAGACCGAUGUGAAAUCCCCGGGCUCAACCUGGGAACUGCAUUGGUGACUGGCAGGCUAGAGUAUGGCAGAGGGGGGUAGAAUUCCACGUGUAGCAGUGAAAUGCGUAGAGAUGUGGAGGAAUACCGAUGGCGAAGGCAGCCCCCUGGGCCGAUACUGACGCUGAGGAGCGAAAGCGUGGGGAGCGAACAGG